UACGAAGGGGGCUAGCGUUGCUCGGAAUCACUGGGCGUAAAGGGUGCGUAGGCGGGUCUUUAAGUCCGGGGUGAAAUCCUGGAGCUCAACUCCAGAACUGCCUUUGAUACUGAGGAUCUUGAGUCCGGGAGAGGUGAGUGGAACUGCGAGUGUAGAGGUGAAAUUCGUAGAUAUUCGCAAGAACACCAGUGGCGAAGGCGGCUCACUGGCCCGGUACUGACGCUGAGGCACGAAAGCGUGGGGAGCAAACAGG
rnacentral:rRNA from 1 species